rnacentral:lncRNA from 1 species
UUGGGGUCGGUGUGGAGUUGGGAAAGCUGGAGCUGUUUUCAGGCUGUUCUCUGCUGUUCCUGGGCUGUUCUUGGCUGUUCGGCCCCUGAGGGCCCCGGGGACUCGACUGAGGCCGAGAGUUCUGGCUGUGAAGAUCUCCUGCUGCGCUGAAAAUCGUUCGGCUCGGAGGAGGACGAGUGGAGAGGAAGCUGAGAGUGCUCUGAGCUCUGGGUUCUGAGAGGAAGGUGCAAUACGAUCUUUACAGAAGAAACUAAAGAAAUGAGGCAGGACGUCCCGCAGUCGCUUGCUCUGUUCGUGCAGACAGUGGCAGUGGUGGCGGCAGCUGGGACCCGGCGCUGACUGACUGUCUGUGUCUGUAAGCGAUUUGGGUUUUGUGUGACGAGAGCUGAAAAACAAAAGCAGCAGUGUGAGAGGCACAUGUGAGGAGGCGAGGAGCCAGGUCCUGAUCCGGUUCUUGAGGAGCAGGACUUGAGGAGCAGGACUUGGCUCGCUUUGUGAACAGAUCCGGGACAGGCCGUGUUCACAGUGGCUAAGUUCCGCUCCUCUGAGGCUCAGUCGCAGCACCGGGAGGCGGUACCUGCUGAUACCCGGCCGGGGGCAGCGGACGAGUUCGCAGAGUGGCGGCGCCGGGUGAGUUACGCUGGGUACGUCUUUUCUUUGGUACGGAAAUGAAAGCUUGAGUGCUGUGAUAUAAAGAGCAGUUGCUGACCCCAGAUCAGUCCUGUUCCUCCGAGCACUUUAUGAACAGGAGCUUGGAGCUCCACCCUUCCUCUCCAGCAGGGUGUUCUGGUCAAGCAGGCUGUUAGCCAGAGGCGUGUACACAGCUCCAGCGCUAUGUCUUCUCCUCCGAAAACACAGUGAGGAAGAUGAAUGGAUGAAAGCUCAGGUUCUUCCAGGCAAAUAAAGAAGCUUUAAAAAACA